rnacentral:rRNA from 1 species
AUACGGAGGAUGCGAGCGUUAUCCGGAUUUAUUGGGUUUGAAGGGAGCGUAGGUGGGAUAUUAAGUCAGCUGUGAAAGUUUGGGGCUCAACCUUAAAAUUGCAGUUGAUACUGGUUUCCUUGAGUACGGUACAGGUGGGCGGAAUUCGUGGUGUAGCGGUGAAAUGCUUAGAUAUCACGAAGAACUCCGAUCGCGAAGGCAGCUCACCGGGCCGGAACUGACACUGAUGCUCGAAAGUGCGGGUAUCAAACAGGAUUAGAUACCCUGGUAGUCCGCACAGUAAACGAUGAAUACUCGCUGUUUGCGAUACACUGUAAGCGGCCAAGCGAAAGCGUUAAGUAUUCCACCUGGGGAGUACGCCGGCAACGGUGAAACUCAAAGGAAUUGACGGGG